rnacentral:rRNA from 1 species
GGGACGAACGCUGGCGGCGUGCUUAACACAUGCAAGUGGAGCGACGAACCAGGGCUUGCCCUGGGGCAGAGCCGCGAACGGGUGAGUAACACGUGGGUUACCUGCCCCGAUGACCGGGACAACCCGAGGAAACUCGGGCUAAUACCGGAUGUGGUCUUCGGACGAAAGGAAGCUUCGGCCUCCGCAUCGGGAUGGGCCCGCGGCGCAUUAGCUUGUUGGUGGGGUAACGCCCACCAAGGCUACGAUGCGUAGCUGGUCUGAGAGGACGAUCAGCCACACUGGGACUGAGACACGGCCCAGACUCCUACGGGAGCAGCAGUGGGGAAUCUUGCGCAAUGCGCGAAAGCGUGACGCAGCAACGCCGCGGUGGGGGAAGAGGCCUUGGUUAGUAAACCUUCUUUCGAGGUUAGGGACGAAGCGUUCCGUCGUUAAGUA